UACGUAGGGUGCGAGCGUUAAUCGGAAUUACUGGGCGUAAAGCGUGCGCAGGCGGUUCGUUAAGUCAACUGUGAAAGCCCCGGGCUCAACCUGGGAAUGGCGGUUGAAACUGGCGAACUUGAAUCUGGCAGAGGGGGGUGGAAUUCCACGUGUAGCAGUGAAAUGCGUAGAGAUGUGGAGGAACACCGAUGGCGAAGGCAGCCCCCUGGGCUGAGAUUGACGCUCAGGCACGAAAGCGUGGGGAGCAAACAGG
rnacentral:rRNA from 1 species